rnacentral:rRNA from 1 species
AUGGAAAAUUGCAUUUUUGGAAUUUGCAAUAAUGCGAUGGGCGACCGAUGGGAAUUGAACCCGCGCAUGGUGGAUUCACAAUCCACUACCUUGAUCCACUUGGCCACAUCCGCCCCUUAUCCAUCUAAAGGAUUUUCCAUUGAUCGUUAUUCUAUUUAUUCUGACCUCCGUACUUCGAUCAAGAUAUUGGGCAUAGAAUGCCACUCUUUAAAAAGGAAAAAAGGAGUAAUCAGCUGUGACACGAAAAAAAUGAAUCCUUUUGUAGCUCAUCAUUUAUUGGCAAAGAUAGAAAAGGUCAAUAUGAAGGAGGAGAAAGUGUGA